rnacentral:rRNA from 1 species
GAUGAACGCUGGCGGCGUGCCUAAUACAUGCAAGUCGAGCGAACGGACGAGAAGCUUGCUUUUCUGAUGUUAGCGGCGGACGGGUGAGUAACACGUGGAUAACCUACCUAUAAGACUGGGAUAACUUCGGGAAACCGGAGCUAAUACCGGAUAAUAUUUUGAACCGCAUGGUUCAAAAGUGAAAGACGGUCUUGCUGUCACCUAUAGAUGGAUCCGCGCUGCAUUAGCUAGUUGGUAAGGUAACGGCUUACCAAGGCAACGAUGCAUAGCCGACCUGAGAGGGUGAACGGCCACACUGGAACUGAGACACGGUCCCGACUCCUACGGGAGGCAGCAGUAGGGAAUCUUCCGAAAUGGGCGAAAGCCUGACGGAGCAACGCCGGGUGAGGGAUGAAGGUCUUCGGAUCGUAAAACUCUGUUAUUAGGGAAGAACAUAUGUGUAAGUAACUGUGCACAUCUUGACGGUACCUAAUAAGAAAGCCACGGCUAACUACGUG